GAAAACUGCCGUCUGUCCCUAGGCGUCACCUCCACAGGGAGGUCAUGGCGUUAUCUGAACUCAGAAGCAAGGUAGAUGCUAAAAUCAGUGCAGGAGCUGGAGUCAGGGCUUAGAAAUCUUAACGCCAUGGAGGGCAUUCAGCCACUGCUUGGGCACCUGCUGAGCACAAGGAAAGAGAACUGUGAAUCUCAGCUUUUUUCCACUUGCCAUCCAGUCUCCCCGUUUCUUACUGAUUCUAGAGAAUCAAAGGCCUGGGAAAUGUGGUUUCCUAAGAUAUGAGCAUUCCUUGAGUUCAGAGUUGCCUCUGCUGUAGAAGAUAAGGAGAAGAGAAGGCAAUGAGCAAUCCUCAAAGGAAGAGAGAUUCAAGAGGAAAGAGAGAAAUUGUGAGGGAUCAUAUAAGGGAAGGAUGGUGAGCCAUUGGGGUGGAUGUAGGGGCCAAGAGGUGAGAUGCUAUUUUAAUACAUAAAGUUGUCAGAAGUUCCUUAAGAAUCUUCAUCCUUUUGUCAUUAAACCCUACCUCCUAGAGACAGGAAAGAGAGAAGACAUGGGCACCAGAAUUCAUCCAUAAGCACGGCCUUCCCUUGCACGGCCUUGUCUGAGCCACAUGCUCCUCUCCUUAGCACCAGCGGGCGCCUGCUACCAUAGAACUUGCUAUGGUACACUGAAAUUGUUUCUUUGUCAUGGAAAUACAUUCUUUUGCCAAGCACGGGGCCUAUGUUUUCAUCUUUAUUUCUUACAAGUCCCAGGUAUGUUGAAAAAUAUUGUUUGAAAAGAGCCAUAACUAAUUGCCUUUGAUAAAAAUACAGUAGAGAAAAUAAUUUUGUUAUUUGUCUGAUUGGCUAAAAAUCCUCCAGUUGGAAACCAUGUGUGACUUUCUCCCUCUUGAGUCUUACAAGCAUUAAGAGUGUGUCUGAGUGCUUAUUAUAGAUAGAGCAAGAAAACUGAUGUUCCCAUCAGGACCUGCUAUAGACUGACUUGAGUACCACCAAAAGCCCUUGUGGCAAAGGCAUGGGUGCCAGCCUGUGGCACCUUUGGGAGGCUGUGUAAACUUUAGGAGGAGAGUUAGGUCAAUGGUGGAAUGUCCUUGAAGGAGAUAUGAGACCCUGAGUCCCCUGUUUCUCUUUUUACUUCCUAGGUGCUGUGAGGUGAAAGGCUUGUCUUUGCUGCCAUGAUGCCUUUCCCACAUAGGCCCAGAGAAAUGAGACCAAGUGACCAUGGGCUGAAAUUGCAGAAAUCAUGGCACCAAACUUGCCUUCCCCAUAGGUUGAUUGUUUUGAAGCUUUUUAUUGCACUAACAGGAAGCUGACUAGCAGAGGGAUACUAAAGUGCCAUACCAAAAUGCAUCACUGGUGUGGCCUAACAUGUUUCUUCCUUGCUGGGUUGAGAUUUGAAAUUGAGUGACAAGUCGUACUUCCUGAAAACAACAGAAAGCAGCACUCAGCACUGACAGUUCUUUGGUUAUAAAUCUGCUUUGAGGGAACCCAAACCUUACUAACAACAAAACAAAAUGGGGUGAGACAUCUUGUGAUGCCUUAGUACCACGGGGGUAUCAAAACCAAAAUGUGCCCUGCUUAUGAGUUCUUUAUCUUUCCCAGGUUCCAUCCUUUCUCAUUCAGCUUUCCUAAUAGGGUUGUCAUAAAACAGUUAUGGCUGGAACAAGUAUUCCUCUAAACUACUUGGUGGCCAGAACAGUAACAGCAACCAUAAACUUCUCAGGGUGGAUGGUGUCCUCACUACCGUGUACCUGAAGUAGAUAUGUUUUUUUUUCAAAUGAUUUAAAAUGAACAAGAGGUCAUAAAAUGAAUAAGAAUUGGAUCCCAUCUUCAUCAUUGUCUUGGCUGUUUCAUAGGAGCCAGACACUUCUGUGUCACCUUCCUGCAGAGUGCUAAGCCUCGGUGCAUUCCUGAAUUCUUCUUCUCAUUGAUACAUGGCACCUUUGUUCUGUCCAGAAUGGCAUGCCAAAAUGGCGGCAGGUGGACCGGCUCUCCAUUGUUAAGGAGACAAUAGAAGGAUGUCUGAUAAGCAUCUCACGUCAGAUUUUUUCUCCAGUCAAAGCAUAUUGGCAGCGCAAUUUUCCAAAUUUGCAUUCUACCUGUGGCUUCACAGAGCUAACCGAGAUGCCUUGCCAAGAAGGGGCAUUGUUCCCUCACGUCUAGAGCACUUACAGGAUUAUUGUAGGUAUUGUCUUGGUGCUGCGUAACUGUCACAACUAACUGGCAGCUAUAAAUCUCAAGCUGUUCAAAAGGCUUUUGAACUCUUCUCAACGCUUCAAGCAAGUUUAUUUGAUUAAGAAGCAUGUGGACAGAUAAUCAUGAAUAUAAGUAGAUACAUAGAAGAUAACCCAGAAAACGGCUUGCACAAUCCACAGAAUUUUGAAUAGAAUCAUGAUGGAAAGAGGUGGAUGUUUAUUGACAAAGCAAAUCCUCAAGAUUACUGUGAUUGGGCUUUGGUGGCAUUUUAUGGUUCUGAAUUUUUGGCAAAAUCAAAGGAAGUAGAGUCAAUGUCUCCAAAUCCAUCCACUUCAGAAAAACCAAGGCAUUACAAUUACCUGAAGAACUUGUACUCAGCCGGGUAUUAAAAACUCUUUGAUGUAUAAAGAAGUAAAGCUUGGUCCAGAUCCUCAAAACACUUCAUCUUCAUCUUGCAAGGAAAAUAAUGACUUUAGCAAGUGACUCAAUUUACCAAUCAAGUCUAACUUAUUAGUCAGAAUCAUAAUGUUUAAAAGAAGAGAUACAUAAGGAGAGAUCAGAAUCAUAAUGUUUAAAAGAAGAGAUACUUAGGAGCAAGAGCCAUCUGCAGAGUUUCCAGAAGAAAGUCAGCCUCAUCUGAUCUUUGAGAUAAAUUUCACCCCACAGGAGCACUAGGCCAACAAAUAUUGGAAAGGAGCCAUGGUGUUCAUGGAUCAGUAGAAAAACAAUCCUGGUAUCAAACAAAGAAACAGAAAGUAACCUUAAAGGCUAAUAAACCUCUUCUUGGAUGCAGCCGGGGCCUCUUGGGAGCAGUGGACACAGGAGGUGAGGAGUUUGGCUCAACCUCAUGCUUCUGUCACGAAGAGCUGUCCUACCCUCGGUCCAGAGGAAGAAGGACAACCAACUAUGGACUGAAUUUCCAAAAUUCUGUAAUUUGGGAAGCUUUCUGAAAGCAAGAAUUAUUUUGGUCUUUCAGUUCGUUUAUUGUUAUAACAACUCACCUUGCAAAAGAGUUUCAAGGAACAUAAAAUGCAGCUCUUCAAAUUGAACACUGGAACACAGUUAGCCGUCACUGGGGUGUUGCUGAAAUAAUGCCAAUCUAUUGGGCACACGAUUUCCUCUUUGCAACAGAAAUAGGAGAACUGAUCAAUGUCUUUUUCUUAACAUAAAACACAAGGACCAAUGAAGCGUCUUAAGAAGACAACACAGAUUACAGAUGAUAAUAAUUUAAACCAUUAUUGUAUCUUCCAAUAAAGAGAGAGAAAUAACUUAAGCUGCUUCCCUGAACCUGGCAUGGUGUGGCUUCUGGCUCUUCCCUAAAGUCAAAGACACAGUGAAAAGUAUAGAAAACUGAAUCAGGACAUUGAAGCAGCCAUGACUGAACAACUAAAGACAAGCAGUUUAAACAACUCCCAGAAGUUCUUCAACAAAUCCAAAGAACAAUAAGGUGAGUGUGUUUGAAGUAAGGGGGAGUAUUUUGAAGGGGACAAAUGCCAAUGUGCCUUUUAAUGGAAUAAAUUAUUUAAAAAUUUUAAACAUUCACUGUAUGUUUUAAUAUACUUU